rnacentral:rRNA from 1 species
AUUGAACGCUGGCGGCAGGCCUAACACAUGCAAGUCGAACGAGUGGCGGACGGGAGAGUAAUGUCUGGGACACUGCCUGAUGGAGGGGGAUAACUACUGGAAACGGUAGCUAAUACCGCAUACCAUCGGAUGUGCCCAGAUGGGAUUAGCUAGUAGGUGGGGUAAAGGGUCACCUAGGCGACGAGCCCUAGCUGGUCUGAGAGGAUGACCAGCCACACUGGAACUGAAACACGGUCCAGACGCCUAGGGAAGGCAGCAGUGGGAAAUAUUGCAAAAGGGGCGAAAGCCUGAUGCAGACAUGCCGGGUGUAUGAAGAAGGCCUUCGGGUUGUAAAGUACUUUCAGCGGGGAGGCGUUACCCGCAGAAGAAGCACCGGCUAACUCCGUGCCAGCAGCCGCGGUAAUUC